ensembl:misc_RNA 7SK 7SK RNA
AGAUGUGAGGGUGAUCUGGCUCUGACAUCUGUCACCCCACUGAUCUCCAUGGUUGAUUCGGCUGAUCUGGCUGGCUAGGCGGGUGUCCCCUUCCUCCCUCACUGCUCCAUGUGCGUCCCUCCUGAAGCUGCACAUUCAGUGGAAGAGGACGGCCUUUCCGGAACAGAGAUGGGCUGGUCUUCGGUUGAGGGUAUAUGAGUAGUUGUGCUCCCCUGCUGGAACCUCCAAACAAGCCCUCAAGAAGAAGGGACUGGGUCCAAAUGAAGUCAGGAGAUUGAGUACAGGGUGACCCAAGACAAGGGUCAGAUAAGCAAAGCUAC